GCACUGAAGUCAUUCUUAAAAAAGGAAGAUGUGUUUGGAGAUUUGCCGACCGGAUACGGCAAAAGUUUAAUCUGUCAAUCAGCUUCAUUAUCUUCUUCGUUGCG